rnacentral:rRNA from 1 species
CUUGUGUAGCAUAGGUGGGAGACUGUGAAGCUGGCACGCCAGUGCUGGUGGAGUCGCCGUUGAAAUACCACUCUGGUCGAAUUGGGCAUCUAACUUCGGACCAUGAUCUGGUUCAGGGACAGUGCCUGGUGGGUAGUUUAACUGGGGCGGUUGCCUCCAAAAAUGUAACGGAGGCGCCCAAAGGUUCCCUCAGCCUGGUUGGCAAUCAGGUGUCGAGUGCAAGUGCACAAGGGAGCUUGACUGUGAGACCGACGGGUCGAGCAGGGACGAAAGUCGGGACUAGUGAUCCGGCACUGGCUUGUGGAAGCGGUGUCGCUCAACGGAUAAAAGGUACCCCGGGGAUAACAGGCUGAUC